AGACAGGUGGUGCAUGGUUGUCGUCAGCUCGUGUCGUGAGAUGUUGGGUUAAGUCCCGCAACGAGCGCAACCCCUGUCCUUAGUAGCCAGCAGUAAGAUGGGCACUCUAGGGAGACAGCCGGGGAUAACCCGGAGGAAGGCGGGGACGACGUCAAAUCAUCAUGCCCCUUAUGAUUUGGGCUACACACGUGCUACAAUGGCGUAAACAAAGGGAAGCGAGCCUGCGAGGGGGAGCGAAUCCCAAAAAUAACGUCCCAGUUCGGACUGCAGUCUGCAACUCGACUGCACGAAGCUGGAAUCGCUAGUAAUCGCGGAUCAGAAUGCCGCGGUGAAUACGUUCCCGGGUCUUGUACACACCGCCCGUCACACCAUGGGAGUCAGUAACGCCCGAAGUCAGUGACCCAACCGAAAGGAAGGAGCUGCCGAAGGCGGGACGGAUGACUGGGGUGAAGUCGUAACAAGGUAGCCGUAUCGGAAGGUGCGGCUGGAUCACCUCCUUUCUAAGGAA
rnacentral:rRNA from 1 species